rnacentral:rRNA from 1 species
CCUACGGGCGGCAGCAGUAGGGAAUCUUCCACAAUGGGCGCAAGCCUGAUGGAGCAACACCGCGUGAGUGAAGAAGGGUUUCGGCUCGUAAAGCUCUGUUGUUGGAGAAGAACGAGCGUGAGAGUAACUGUUCUCGUAGUGACGGUAUCCAAACAGAAAGUCACGGCUAACUACGUGCCAGCAGCUGCGGUAAUACGUAGGUGGCAAGCGUUAUCCGGAUUUAUUGGGCGUAAAGCGAGCGCAGGCGGUUGCUUAGGUCUGAUGUGAAAGCUUUCGGCUUAACCGUAGAAGUGCAGCGGAAACCGGGCAACUUGAGUGCAGUAGAGGACAGUGGAACUCGAUGUGUAGCGGUGGAAUGCGUAGAUAUAUGGAAGAACACCAGUGGCGAAGGCGGCUGUCUGGUCUGCAACUGACGCUGAGGCUCGAAAGCAUGGGUAGCGAACAGGAUUAGAUACCCCGGUAGUC